GGGGCCUGGGCGCGCGGCUAUGGGGACUGAACUGUUAAGGGCUCCUGCUGCCUCCGCAGGAGACAGGCCCUGCCAGCUACUGAGUGAGCAGCCUGCGGCAGCCCUGACUCACUACAGGUCGCGCCAUCUGUGCAGCGCUGGGGUCCCCACCACCCAGUACCAGAAUUUUCCCACUGUAAAAAAUCAAGCAGGUCUGGACAAGUGAGGCUGGCUCCAUGUAUCCAGAAUCAACGACGGGCUCCCCGGCUCGGCUCUCCCUGCGGCAGACGGGCUCCCCCGGGAUGAUCUACAGGAACCUGGGCAAGUCUGGCCUGCGGGUCUCCUGCCUGGGACUUGGAACAUGGGUGACCUUCGGAGGCCAGAUCACCGAUGAGAUGGCAGAGCAGCUCAUGGCCUUGGCCUAUGAUAAUGGCAUCAACCUCUUCGAUACAGCAGAAGUCUAUGCAGCCGGCAAGGCUGAAGUGGUACUGGGAAACAUCAUUAAGAAGAAAGGAUGGAGG
rnacentral:sRNA from 1 species